rfam:Astyanax mexicanus chromosome 14, whole genome shotgun sequence.
GCAAACCACUUCUGCAAGUCACUCUGGAUAAGAGCAUCUGCUAAAUGCCAUAAA